rnacentral:lncRNA from 1 species
UGAGACUGGAUAAUUUCUAAAGCAGAGAGGUUUAAUUGGGCUCACAGUUCAGCAGGCUGUACAGUAGCUGGGACUACAGGAUGUACACCACCACACCCGGCUAAUCUUUUAUUUUUUUGUAGAGGCGGAGUCUCACUAUGUUGCCCAGGCUCAUUUCAAACUCCUGGCCUCAAGCAAUCCUCCCAUCUCAGCCUCCCAAAUUGCUGGGAUUACAGGCGUGAGCCGCAGUACCUGACCAGAUUGUGAAGUAUCUUGAAGCAAUCUGGAAAGAAGUCUUGAAGCAAUUCUUGAGGGUGUUUUGUACCACAGAGUGAAGUCCCAACAGGACUCUGAGAAGGAAGCCACCCACUCAGAAUUACUGCCAAGGGAGGGGCUGUAAUGACACAUGAUGGAGUGAGGAGGUAUGGGAAGCAGCUCUGGAGGGUUAAGGAAAUCAUUGCCACCAUUUUUAAACAGCGAUUAUGUGCCAAGCCCCAUGUUUAGCAUUUUACAUAAAAUGCCUUUAUUCUCAGAACAGCCCCACCAGACAGGUAUUUUCAUCCAGACAGGUGUUUCCCCUGUGCGUAUGACAAAACGCACUCAGGGUGAUUAGGUAACUUGCUCAAAAACACAGAGGGACUGAGGAAGGCAGUAUUUAAGCCCCUGCUGGAUCCUUCCAAAUCUGUCUGCUACACCUUAAGCCCUCUCUAAGAAUAUUAGAGAUAGUUAUGGAUAGCCAGCCAGGAGGUAACUAAAAAUUUCCAUUAUUGUCUAUAAACAAACAAAGGAGCAAAAUGGGGGUGAUACUCCAUACAGUGAGGGUGGGAAAACCACACAAGCUCUCUCAG